rnacentral:rRNA from 1 species
ACUGCUCAGUAACACGUGGAUAACCUGCCCUUGGGUCCGGCAUAACCCCGGGAAACUGGGGAUAAUUCCGGAUAACGCACAUAUGCUGGAAUGCUUUAUGCGUCAAAUGGAUUCGUCUGCCCAAGGAUGGGUCUGCGGCCUAUCAGGUAGUAGUGGGUGUAAUGUACCUACUAGCCGACGACGGGUACGGGUUGUGAGAGCAAGAGCCCGGAGAUGGAUUCUGAGACAUGAAUCCAGGCCCUACGGGGCGCAGCAGGCGCGAAAACUUUACAAUGCGGGAAACCGUGAUAAGGGGACACCGAGUGCCAGCAUCAUAUGCUGGCUGUCCGGGUGUGUAAAAUACACCUGUUAGCAAGGGCCGGGCAAGACCGGUGCCAGCCGCCGCGGUAACACCGGCGGCCCGAGUGGUGAUCGUGAUUAUUGGGUCUAAAGGGUCCGUAGCCGGUUUGGUCAGUCCUCCGGGAAAUCUGACGGCUUAACCGUUAGGCUUUCGGAGGAUACUGCCAGGCUUGGAACCGGGAGAGGUAAGAGGUACUACAGGGGUAGGAGUGAAAUCUUGUAAUCCCUGUGGGACCACCUGUGGCGAAGGCGUCUUACCAGAACGGGUUGGACGGUGAGGGACGAAAGCUGKGGGCACGAACCGGAUUAGAUACCYGGGUAGUCCCAGCCGUAAACGAUGCUCGMUAGGUGUCAGGCAUGGCGCGACCGUGUCUGGUGCCGCAGGGAAGCCGUGAAGCGAGCCACCUGGGAAGUACGGCCGCAAGGCUGAAACUUAAAGGAAUUGGCGGGGGAGCAC